rnacentral:lncRNA from 1 species
GAUACUUGUAAAAGGAGAAGAGGAGUCUGAACUCCAUCUAAACUUAUCAAUUCAUCAAAUCAAUUCGGUCAAAAUUAAAUUAAAUAUAAAUAAUUAAAAGCUCCAAAACAACUAAAGCAAUUAGCAAUGAAGUAAUUAACUGGGGAAAAAUAGACUUAAACUACACAGAGACAUUAACUUUCUCAAAAGUCCAAACACCAAGUUGAAGAAGAGAAAAGGACCAAAAACAAUAUUUACACAAUAGCUAAUAUCAAAAAUAAUAAGAAUAUCAAAACAAUAAAAAGAGAUGAAUACACCAAAAUCGAAAGUAGAAAAAGAAACGAAAGAUUGGAGAACCAUGACACGAAGAAAUUCACUAAAUGAUGAGGUGAACUUAAAAGAUAUUUUGCGGGAAUUACAGAAAAUUUCCGAUAAGCAGGACACAUUGCAAAAGGAAGUGCAGACUAUCGCGGCUAAUCAAGAAAUAUUACAAAAAGAAGUUCAAACUAUAGCAGCUAACCAAGAACAACAGAAAAAAUUAUUACAAGAAGAAAUGAUGGAAUUAAAAAAAGAAAUGAGGGAAGAACUGGGCUCUAUGAAAAAAGAAUUGACUAAAAAUUCAAUUGAUAUAAGUGAACUGAAAAUGGAGAAAAAGAAGAUAGACAAAUCACACUCAAAAAUACAAAAAAAAGUAGAAGGGUUGGAAUUCAAAAACACAAAAUUAGAAAAAAUACAAGAAAAAUUGGAACAAAGUGAAUUAGAAUAUCAAUUAAGAUUUAGAAACGUACAAGAGGAAACAAAAGAGAAUAUUAAAGCUGUGAUCACGCAAUUAUUAUCAAAAUUACUAUACUGUACAGAACAAGAAGCAAAUGGACAAUUGGACAGAGUAUAUAGAGUGCACACUCAUUUUGCAAAGAAAAACAGAGGAAUUAGAGAUGUUAUAGUACACUUUGUAAAGAAAAGCACUCGAGAUGAUGUCUUACGAGAGAAUGCAUCCAAUCCAGUAUUUUACAAAGAAAGGAAAAUAACAAUUCUGAAGGAGUUCUCCCAAUCAAUAAUGAACAAAAGGAAGAAAUACUACUUUCUAACGGACGAAUUGAAAAGACGCAAUAUCAGAUUCAGGUGGGAAAAAUUCGAGGGAAUAAUGACAACCUAUAAUGGAGAAAAGUUUUGGCUGACGUCAGAGGAAAAAGCAAGGGAUUUUUACAAGAAAUUAAGGAAAGACUGCGAACCAGGCAUACCAGAAAUCUCGCCGGAAGACAUGAAAAACCCGACAAAGCCAAAAAAAAGAAGAUUCGACUCACCCGAAGAAGCAGAAGGCGCAACAGGUUGUC